UACAUAGGUUGCAAGCGUUAUCCGGAUUUACUGGGCGUAAAGCGUGCGCAGGUGGUAUUGUGUGUCUGUGGUUAAAGGCAUAAGCUCAACUUAUGUUCGCCUCAGAUACUGCUUUACUAGAGUAUAAGAGAGGUUAUCGGAAUUCCAUAUGUAGCGGUGGAAUGCGUAGAUAUAUGGAGGAACACCAUUGGCGAAAGCGGAUAACUAACUUAUAACUGACACUUAGGCACGAAAGCGUGGGGAGCAAAUAGG
rnacentral:rRNA from 1 species